rnacentral:rRNA from 1 species
UUUCGGGUCUAGUGGCGGACGGCUGAGUAACGCGUAGGUAACGUACCUCUUACUGGGGGAUAACAUCGGGAAACCGGUGCUAAUACCGCAUAAGUCGUGUCUUGGAAUAGAUACGAUUAAAGAUUUAUUGGUAAGAGAUUGGCCUGCGUCUGAUUAGCUAGUUGGUAGGGUAAUGGCCUACCAAGGCGAUGAUCAGUAGUUGGUCUGAGAGGAUGACCAGCCAGAGUGGGACUGAGAACGGCCCACACUUCUACGGAAGGCAGCAGUAGGGAAUUUUGCGCAAUGGGCGAAAGCCUGACGCAGCAACACCGCGUGCGGGAUGAAGGCCUUUGGGUUGUAAACCGCUGUCAGCAGGGAAUAAAUUGACUGUACCUGCAAAGGAAGCACCGGCUAACUACGUGCCAGCAGCCGCGGUAAGACGUAGGGUGCAAGCGUUGUCCGGAUUUAUUGGGCGUAAAGAGUUCGUAGGCGGUUGCCUAAGUCUGAUGUUAAAGCCCGGAGCUCAACUCCGGUAUGGCAUUGGAAACUGGGCAGCUUGAGUAUGAUAGAGGUUACGGGAAUUCCUGGUGUAGCGGUGAAAUGCGUAGAUAUCAGGAGGAACACCGGUGGCGAAAGCGCGUAACUGGGUCAUAACUGACGCUGAGGAACGAAAGCCAGGGUAGCAAAAAGGAUUAGAUACCCUUGUAGUCCUGGCCGUAAACGAUGGAUACUAGGUGUUGGUGGAUUCGACCCCAUCAGUGCCGUAGCUAACGCGAUAAGUAUCCCGCCUGGGGAGUACGACCGCAAGGUUGAAACUCAAAUGAAUUGAC